CUCGUCUGGAGAUCUCUUCUUCUGGUGCUUUCUGUAGGUGAGCCUACCAUAUAGAGGAAAAGGGAAGGACUGGAACUAGCAUCCUCUGAGCUGCUGUGCCAGGACAACAGGAGAAGUCCAGUGGAUAGACCCAAGAUUCCUGCAGCCUCCAAGUGAGCCCUAAGGAAGACAGCAGGACUGGGACUGGUGUUCUCUGAGCUCCAGUGCCAGGACAACAGGAGCAGCCCAGCAGAUGGUCCCAAGCUCCAUAAAGCCUCCAGGUGAUGUUAGAGAAGCUACAGAGACAGCUGUAUCUUUAGAGAAGUAAAAGACUUUGCUUUAGACAGGAAGAAGGUCUGACAUUCAGCAUGAAGGUCCAAUCUAGUUGUUACAUUAGGACUUCUUUUCAAGACAGGACAGUAAACAUAAUAAAAUAAAAUUUAAAAAACA